UGGUAGGAGACAAGGGAUUCGAACCCUCAAACACCAACUUCUAAGGAUGGUAGGUUUACCAAUUACCGUCAAUCUCCC
rnacentral:tRNA from 1 species